AUGCAAUUGGUCUCGGGGGGCCAAACCGCUGUUUCGAUGAAUGGAGAAAUAGGGCAUUUCUUCAGGAACAAACGCGGGCUUAGGCAGGGAGAUCCCAUGUCUCCGUUGCUCUUCAACUUCGUAGUUGACGCGCUGUCUGCGAUGCUGACAAGAGCUAUGGCGGCUGGCCAUAUCCAGGGUUUGGUUGGCCAUCUCAUUCCUGGGGGAGUGUCGCAUCUGCAGUACGCGGACGACACGUUGCUGAUGUUCCGCCCGGACAUGCACAUCAUCGCUUCGGUCAAGGCGAUCCUGAUUAGUUUUGAACUUAUGUCGGGCCUUAAGAUCAACUUUCACAAAUGUGAGCUGAUCGCGAUGGGGGUGGAGUCGGAGGAGGGAAGGCGUAUAGCGGAUCUGUUUAAUUGCAAAGUAGGCAAGUUUCCGUUUACGUACCUCGGCCUGCCUAUUGACACUAAAAGACCCACUAUAGAGGAUUGGGAUCCUUUGUGUGGGAAGGUUCGUGGGAGGGUGUGCCCCUGGAGAGGGAAAUUCCUUUCCAAGGCUGCUAGGCUAAUUCUCACGAAUUCCAGCCUCUCCUCCUUGCCUAUGUUUGCCAUGGGCCUUUUCUUGCUCACGGAAGGGGUUCAUGCGAAGUUUGAUACACCCCGCGCUAAGUUCUUUUGGGAAGGAACCGACCCAAAUCGUAAAUACCAUAUGGUGAAAUGGGCGUGGGUGUGUCGACCCAAGGCCUUGGGAGGCCUUGGGAUCACCAAUUUCAGACUCAUUAACAUAGCCUUGAUGUGUAAAUGGAUCUGGAAACUUGCCCAGGAGGCUACGGGCUUGUGGGUCGAUCUCCUCAAGGCCAAGUACUUUCCUGAGGGCAAUUUUUUCGAAGGGAGGGCGAGGGGAUCCCCCUUCUGGAACGACCUGCAGGCGAUCAAACCGGCAUUUGCCAUGGGGGCAAAGUUUGCCAUCGGGAAUGGACGUUCUGCCCGUUUCUGGACGGACCAUUGGGUCGGGGCCCGACCCCUUUGGGCAGAAUUUCGGGAGCUUUUCGACAUUGCUGUCGAGCCAGAGAUCACGGUGGCGGCGGCACUCGGGCCGUCCCCGCCGGCGAUUAACUUCAAACGUGAGUUGACGGGGCUAGAGCAGGCUAGCCUUGCGGGUAUGAUGCAACUCAUCGGGCCGACCACCCUGUCAGGGGAACCGGACGCGGUAAGUUGGGCGCUUACCAACUCCGGGAAAUUCUCGAUCAAUUCCUUGUAG
rnacentral:rRNA from 1 species